rnacentral:snRNA from 1 species
AUUGCUUCUCGGCCUUUUGGCUAAGAUCAAGUGAAAUAUGUUUCAUAUCUUGUUAUUUUAUUUCCUCUUUGAGCUGUACCUUGCUAUGCAAAGAGAUGAAAUUGUAUAUGCUUCCAUUUUAAUAGACUGAAACAUUAGCCAAU